UUCACUACUUUUCUAUUUAAAUUAAGGGCAUCAAGUCUUAUGCAUGUCAACUGUCCAUCCUUCCCCUCAAACAGCCAUGGCUACCUAUCUCUCAUUUCUUAUCCUCAUAGCAGCUUCUGCAUUUUCCACUCUUACCGCUGAUGUGAGCAUCGACUGUGGAGCAUCUGAUGUUUAACGAUCAUGGCUAUUCCAUUCGUUGGGUCGGGGAUGAAAACUACAUUCAACAUGGUGAGUCCGUAGAGGUGAAUCUAUCACACCAUUGUAUCGACCCAUAACCACUUUAAGGGUUUUCACUGAUACGAAGAAAAGCUGUUACUCCAUUGAAGCUCACAAAUUUUCUAAGGUUCUUGUCCGGGCGAGUUUUUUCUAUGGAAACUAUGACGGGAAAUCAUCUCCUCCAAGUUUUUCUAUGGAAAUUAUCAGAAGAGAAAGUCAGCAGCAGCCAUUGCUACCACAAAUGCAGGGCAAGCUAGAAGAGCCAACAUGCCUAAUGGUAAGCCACAGGCAGGGGAUAAGCAGCGGCAGGAGACGAAUAACGUUAUGGCCCAGAGUUUUGUCAAUGAUUUUAGAGUGAACAUCCAGGUGGAGCAAUCAGCCGCAGAAGAGCUUAGAUUGGGCCGGGGCUACAAACCAGUUGACUUCUGGGUAGGCUAGGGCUUUGAUGUUUAAUCUUAGGCUUAGCUUAGCCUGGCCCAUGUCAUUGUUUUCUGACUCAGUUUUUUGUUUUUAAUUAUGAUUAGUAUAUUAUUUUAAUAAUAAAAGUUCAAACCUAUGGUUGGAUUAAAUUA